rnacentral:rRNA from 11 species
UGCCAUUGUUGCUCAUGUCUAUUGCCAAGUUAUCCCGUCUGAUCUUGGAAGCUAGGCAGGUUCAGCCUGGGAUAGUACUUGGAUUGGGCACUACCAAGGAAUGCCAGUGCUGUGGGCU